rnacentral:rRNA from 1 species
AGUCAUAUGCUUGUCUCAAAGAUUAAGCCAUGCAUGUCUAAGUUCACACCCUUGUACGGUGAAACCGCGAAUGGCUCAUUAAAUCAGUCGAGGUUCCUUAGAUGAUUCUUUUCUACUUGGAUAACUGUGGUAAUUCUAGAGCUAAUACAUGCUUUUCCGCUCCGACCUUCCCAGGAAAGAGCGCUUUUAUUAGUUCAAAACCAGUCGGGAUUCACGUCUCGUAUUUUGGUGACUCUGGAUAACUUUGUGCCGAUCGCAUGGCCUUGAGCUGGCGACGCAUCUUUCAAAUGUCUGCCCUAUCAAAUGACGAUGGUCGGUGAUCUGCCUACCAUGUUGGCUACGGGUAGCGGAGAAUCGGGGUUCGAUUCCGGAGAGGGAGCAUGAGAAACGGCUACCACAUCCAAGGAAGGCAGCAGGCGCGCAACUUACCCACUCCUGGCACAGGGAGGUAGUGACGAAAAAUAACAAUACGGAACUCGAAAGAGGCUUCGUAAUUGGAAUGAGUACACUUUAAACCCUUUAACGAGGAUCUAUUGGAGGGCAAGUCUGGUGCCAGCAGCCGCGGUAAUUCCAGCUCCAAUAGCGUAUACUAAAGUUGUUGCGAUUAAAAAGCUCGUAGUUGGAUCUCAGGUAUGGGCGCGCGGUCCGUCUCGCGACGGUUACUGCGUGAAAUGUUGUCCCAUCCUACGCUUCCCGGUUGUCAGCCCAUGGUGCUCUUGACUGAGCGUUUUGGGAGGCCGGAACGUUUACUUUGAAGAAAUUAGAGUGUUCAAGGCAGGCUUGUGGCCUGAAUAAUGUUGCAUGGAAUAAUGGAAUAGGACCUCGUUUCUAUUUUGCUGGUUUUCGGAAGACGAGGUAAUGAUUAAGAGGGACAGACGGGGGCAUCCGUAUUGCGGUGUUAGAGGUGAAAUUCUUGGAUCAUCGCAAGACGAACAACUGCGAAAGCAUUUGCCAAGAAUGUUUUCAUUAGUCAAGAACGAAAGUC